rnacentral:rRNA from 1 species
CCUACGGGAGGCAGCAGUAGGGAAUUUUCCACAAUGGACGAAAGUCUGAUGGAGCAACGCCGCGUGCAGGAUGAAUGCCUUCGGGUUGUAAACUGCUUUUAUAUGUGACGAUUAUGACGGUAGCAUAUGAAUAAGGAUCGGCUAAUUCCGUGCCAGCAGCCGCGGUAAU